GGGCGUAAAGAGCUCGUAGGUCGUUUGCCGCGUCGAUUGUGAAAAUCUGAGGCUCAACCUCAGACCUGCAGUCGAUACGGGCAAACUAGAGUGUGGUAGGGGAGACUGGAAUUCCUGGUGUAGCGGUGGAAUGCGCAGAUAUCAGGAGGAACACCAAUGGCGAAGGCAGGUCUCUGGGCCAUAACUGACACUGAGGAGCGAAAGCGCGGGGAGCGAACAGGAUUAGAUACCCUGGUAGUCCGCGCCGUAAACGAUGGGCACUAGCUGUGAGAGCCUUCCACGGUUCUCGCGACGCAGCAAACGCAUUAAGUGCCCCGCCUGGGGAGUACGAUCGCAAGAUUAAAACUCAAAGGAAUUGACGGGGCCCCGCACAAGCAGCGGAGCAUGCGGCUUAAUUCGACGCAACGCGAAGAACCUUACCAAGGCUUGACAUAUAGCGAAAAGUGGCAGAGAUGUCAUGUCCGCAAGGGCGCUAUACAGGUGGUGCAUGGUUGUCGUCAGCUCGUGUCGUGAGAUGUUGGGUUAAGUCCCGCAACGAGCGCAACCCUCGUUCUGUGUUACCAGCAUUAAGUUGGGGACUCACAGGAGACUGCCGGGGUCAACUCGGAGGAAGGUAAU
rnacentral:rRNA from 1 species